GUUAUUAAUACAAUACUUUCCGCCAGAGAACUACAAGUGAAAAACUUGAAACUCAAAGGACUUGACGGUGUCCCAUAUCGACCUAGAGGAGCCUGUCCUAUAAUCGAUACCCCCCGUUCCACCCAACCUCAACUAGCAAAAUAUCAGCCUAUAUACCGCCGUCGACAGUUUACCCUAUGAAGGCCCAAUAGUAGACACAAUAGCCCAUAACGCUAAUACGUCAGGUCAAGGUGUAGCAUAUGUUGAGGAAGAGAUUGGCUACAUUUUUUAUAAUAAAAAACACGAAUUGCACUAUGAAAAACUGCAUGAAGGUGAAUUUAGUAGUAAAACAGAUAAGAGUGUCUGUUUUAACAACGCUCUGGGACGCGU
rnacentral:rRNA from 1 species